rnacentral:rRNA from 1 species
AUUGAACGCUGGCGGCAUGCUUUACACAUGCAAGUCGAACGGCAGCGCGGGCUUCGGCCUGGCGGCGAGUGGCGAACGGGUGAGUAAUACAUCGGAACGUGCCCAGUAGUGGGGGAUAGCUCGGCGAAAGCCGGAUUAAUACCGCAUACGACCUGAGGGUGAAAGCGGGGGAUCUUCGGACCUCGCGCUAUUGGAGCGGCCGAUGGCAGAUUAGCUAGUUGGUGGGGUAAAGGCCUACCAAGGCGACGAUCUGUAGCUGGUCUGAGAGGAUGACCAGCCACACUGGGACUGAGACACGGCCCAGACUCCUACGGGAGGCAGCAGUGGGGAAUUUUGGACAAAGGGCGAAAGCCUGAUCCAGCAAUGCCGCGUGUGUGAUGAAGGCCUUCGGGUUGUAAAGCACUUUUGGCGGGAACGAAAAGGACUGUGCCAAUACCACGGUUCGAUGACGGUACCCGCAGAAUAAGCACCGGCUAACUACGUG